UACGAAGGGGGCUAGCGUUGCUCGGAAUCACUGGGCGUAAAGCGCGCGUAGGCGGGUCUUUAAGUCAGGGGUGAAAUCCUGGAGCUCAACUCCAGAACUGCCUUUGAUACUGAAGAUCUUGAGUUCGGGAGAGGUGAGUGGAACUGCGAGUGUAGAGGUGAAAUUCGUAGAUAUUCGCAAGAACACCAGUGGCGAAGGCGGCUCACUGGCCCGAUACUGACGCUGAGGCACGAAAGCGUGGGGAGCAAACAGG
rnacentral:rRNA from 1 species